UUAAACUUGAUUACAAUUUAAGAAUUUAUUAUUUACUAUUAAUUAUAUGAUUUAUAUUUAAUUUGGGAUUUUCAGUAAUUAGUUUUUUCUUUUAAUUUUUGUUAUUAAAGAUAUGUAAUUUAAUUAGGUUAAAGUUGUGCCAGCAUCCGCGGUUAUACAUCUUAUUUAAGUAAAUUGUUUUAGUCUAAAUUAUUUUUUUUAUGAAUUUAUCUUAUUAAAAAUUAAGUGGAAUUUUUUUUAUUAUUCUUUUUCUUCAAUAAUUAUUUAUAAGUUUUUGAGUUAAACUAGGAUUAGAUACCCUAUUAUUAAAAAUUUAAUUUUAUACUUGAGUAUUAAUAGAUAAAAUCUAUGAAAUUCAAAUUAUUUGGCGGUAAUUUAUUUAUUAGGGGAACCUGUUCUUUAAUCGAUAAACCACGAUAGUUUAUACCUGUAAUUUAUUUGUAUAUCUCUAUAUCUUGAGUGUUUAUACAGAAUAUUCUCGUUUAUAUAUUUUAAAAAAUAUUAGGUCAAGAUGCAGUUUUUUAUAGGUAAGUGUGGGUUACUUUAAUUUUAAAUUAUUUAGGAUGUUAAUCUUUAUGAUUAUUUGAAAUUGGAUUUAACAGUAAAUUAAAUUAAUUUAUUUAUUUGAAAUUCUUUGUAAAUUAUGCACAUAUCGCCCGUCACUUUCAUUUCAUUUGAAAUAAGUCGUAACAAAGUUACUUUACCGGAAGGUAAAGUAAAUUUAGUGGU
rnacentral:ncRNA from 1 species